GGGGUAAGUAACAUGGGGUAGCUUUGUUCUUACUUUCAAAAGCUCAUUACAGGCUGUAGUUUUUUGUUCAUUAGCUGUAACAGCUUUUUAAUGGCUUGCUUGAUCUAAAGUAUAAGCUAAGUCUUUGAAAGAUGGUGACUUGAUGCGGGAAAGAAUAAAGUUGUGGCUUUCUGUGUUUGGCACUCCUACCUCCCUGCUCGCCUGGUGGAUGUGUCUGUCUCAUAUCACCCUUCUGAAGACAGGCAGCUCACUGACUGCAGCCAAACUACAUCAACACAGUUUUUGCUGCAGUCCAUGACAGUGCACACCAUGGGAGAUGGAGAGGAGGACCCCAGCAAACCAGCAAAUGACUUCUGGAUUGCAAGGCUAUAUGUGUUGCUCAACUACAUUCAAAACAUGAUAUGGCCUUGCUGUUUGAUUUUGGUGGGGUUACUCAAAUACCUAAAGA